CUCUUAUAGAACAUAAUUAUAAGUACCACCUGCUCAAUCGACAAACUUAAAUAGCCGCAGUUUCCUGUGCUAAGGUAGCAUAAUCAUUUGUCUUCUAAUUAAAGACUAGCAUGAACGGUGACACAUUUAACUCCUAUUUCAUAUUUUCAUCACUGAACCUAUUCUAAAUAUUAAAAAAUAUUUAUAAACUAAAAAGACGACAAGACCCUGUCAAACUUUAACUAAAGUUAAGCUGGGGCAGCUAUACAAAAAAAACUUCUAAGUACCACCUACUCCCGUAAGCUUAGACCUGCUAAAAGCAAUCUUCUGAACAAGUUACUGCAGGGAUAACAGCGCAAUUACUCUCCAAAGUCCUUAUACCAAGAGCUGUAUGCGACCUCGAUGUUGAAUUAACUCUCCCUUCUAAACGCAACCGUUUAAUAAGUAGGUCGUUCGACCUUUAAAAAGUUACG
rnacentral:rRNA from 1 species